rnacentral:tRNA from 1 species
CUAUUUUAGUAUAAUAAGUAUGAUUUCUUUCCAAGAAAUAGGUUUAAAAAUAUUGGUUUAAAAGUAGU